UCACUCGGACCUGCUGGCUCUGCAGUUUGGAGGGAAGAGGGUGGUGGAGGGGGGGUCCGGGCCCCGGGGCAAGAGAACACGGUUCACAGAGGCCCCAAAACAAUUCCUGGAAAUCUCCUUUCCGAGCACAGACAAGACAGCAGGAGUGGCGCCCACACGGAAGGAAGGCCCCGCUGGGAGGGACGUGCCAAGAGCCGGGACCAUCGCAGCACUAUGGCCUACGGAUCAGGGCCAGCCCGGCUGCAAACAGGAACCCUUUGUUCCUCCACCAGAGAGGCAGUUCCCGGCCAUGCCACCGUGUUCCUUGACCCAUUUUGCUGUACCCGCACUGGCUCUCCUCCCCACCCGCCAGGCUGGGAAGCCCCUGGGGGGAAACUGAGGCAGGGAGCCAGGCAACACACUGCCCCAGGUAGCCUGAGUCCUGCCACGCAGAGGAACCUGGGAGUCCUUGCUCCUUGCCCCUCUCCCCUGCUCCAGGCUGCACCCACCUCCACAACCCCCAUGGGCCUGAGUGGGGUUAAAGGGCUGGAAGGGGGUUAAAACCUGACACCCCAGCCAUGGGGGCGGAGGGGGGCGGGUUGUGUUGUGGGGAGGUCUCGGCUCAGCUGUGCUUGGGGUCCCAUCUGGUCCGGGGGAGACGGCUCCGAGCUGCCUGUCCUGGGGGGAGACAUCCCACCCCGUGGCCUUCGGAGCUGGGCACUCGGUGUUUGCAAGAGAUAAGUGGGAAGGGCGGUUUCCUCUCCGGAAAGCUCCUGUGGCCCCAGGCACGGGGGUCACGGGCUCGGCCUGCAGGAAGGCAAGAAGGGAAGGCUGAUAAGGACCGGGGGAGCCUGACCUUGCCCUCCCAACCGAGUCAGCACUUUGGGUCAGGGGGGCACGGCCCAGCACCGGGCUCACUCCUUGCUCCCUGUCUUUGGACCCGCAGCCCCCCUGUGCCUACCUGCUCCUGGCAGCCAGCAGGCCCAGAGCCCCCUGCAGCCCCCAACAGUUGGCCCUGGCCCCAGCCUCAGCCCCAGCCUCAACCUCCAUCUCUCUCCUGUGCCCCUUCCUCAAACAGUCUGAGCUGAGCUUCCUGGCUCCAGCAUGGAUCUUGCUUUGCUUUGCACUAAUGAUCUUCCUCCUAUUGUCUUCCCGCAUCUCUCAAUUUCCACAGCUCAGCAGGGGUGCCAGAGCCCGGGCGGGAAAGGGCUGCACGCACGAACCCCCUGCAAGGCCUGGAGCACGGGACCCUCUACCCCGGCUUCUCCUGAGUCUCGGCCCAGCCCAGCAGCCACCACUGACCUCCUGCGCCCUGUACUGUGCAGGUGCCUGCAGGAGAGUGCACGGCUCUGAGCUGGGUCCAGACUGCCUGGCAGGUGCAAGCUCCAAGACUUCAAGGUCAAGAUCUCCAUCGUUGAGCCAGGCAGCUUCUGAGGUGCCCAGCGUAUGCAGAAAAGCCAGGAGCAAGUGCGGGGCCAUGUGCCCCUCCCCAGAGACUUACAGGCAGCAGUACUUCAGCCACUGGUCUUGCCAACGUACCGCAGCUUCCCUGGGACUGUCCUGGGAAGCACAAAGCUGCUGCCUUGAGGCAGGAAUUCAUCUGUGUUUCCAACUCCCUCGGAUGCUGGAAGAGGUGGAACUCGCCCGGAUUCAGCUGCCUGAACCCCUUCCAGCCAGAGCUGUGUGACAGACUGCCUGGGUCCUGCCGACCAGAGCCCAGAAAAAACAGCAUCUACCCCAUCCCCCUCGGCUUCUCUUGUGCUUUGCUGGAACAUUAAUAAUUGAGCAAGGCGCAGAACAGGCAUGUUGGAUCUAAGGCGCAGGACAGAUGUCCAAGAUACCAGGCUCUUUGCAACAACCUCUCCCACCGGCCGAGCCACAUAACGACCAGCAUCUGCCCCAUCCCUCUCGUGGAAGCGUCGCCCCUGCUUCUCUCGCCCUUUGCUGGAACAUGAGUCACCGAGCAAGGCUGCUGCAAGGAGCCAGGGAACGGGAACAGCAUCUGCCCCAUCCCUCUCGUGGAAGCAUCGCCCCUGCUUCUCUCGCCCUUUGCUGGAACAUGAGUCACCGAGCAAGGCUGCUGCAAGGAGCCAGGGAACGGGGUGAGUGUCCAACCUGCCCAGCUCUUCCAACACCCCCUUCUUCUGGCAACGGUGUGUAACAGCAAAAGACAAGGACACGAGCGACUCCCUCCCCACUGCCACUUAUUGUAAAGCUCCCAGGUCCUGUGCUCAGAGGUGUGGACUGCUGCUGCCCGUGGCCCCUUGCAGAGCCCAGCCCCAGCGGUGUUUGGAUUUCAGCCAGAGAAGAGCAGGUCCACCUCCCACAAGUGGCGCUGGGACACCCCAGUAGCACCCGGGGCAUCUCUGCUCUGUGGCACCUGGCUUGCAGGGACUUUUCUGUCUAACUGCCCUGGGCAGGCUUGGGCUGGGAGCAGGUCAGCACGAGGUCUGCCCACGAGGUCGGCAGGUAGCUGAGCGGGAGGUAGAGGAGCUUGGCGUCCCAGCCGCAGGAGUAGCGGGUGCGGGGGUGCUGGGCUGUCAGCGCGUGCUCCAUGGCAUCGGUGACCAGGUGGAGGUUGUCACUACAUGUCAUGUGGAGAACCUUUCUGGUGAGCUCAAAGCCUGUACGGACAGAAAAUCUGGCUGUGAGCAGCCCAGCUGGGCUGGGAUGUGGGAACAAGCAGCACAAGGGACAGGGGAGCGCUGGGGACAAUCUGAGCACCGUUGUGGCAGCCUGGACAGGCCCUGAACCCUCCCCAUUCCCUGGGCCCAGGGGCGUCCCACUGGGACUCACAGUGGUCGAAGUACUGCUGCCCAUAGGCCUCUCUGACCUCGGCAGGGACACGACUCCACACCUGCUCCAGGUUGCUCAGCAUGUGCUGGGAGCUUAAAAAUUGUGUUCGGAAGCCGCCUGGCUCGAUGAUGGAGAGCUUGACCCCAAAAUUAGAGACCUCGCGCCUGGAAUGGAACUGGCAGGGUGAAUGCCUGGGGCUGAGCCGCAGCCCUGCCGCAGCCUCCCCGGUACCCAGCUGCCCAUAAGCUCCAGGGCUGGUGCAUCCUUGUGAGGAGGCUGUGGGGAGGUAGCUGGGCCAGGGGGGCCCCAGGAGAGGACCCAGGCCAUGGGGGAUGCAGGCCACGUACCUCAGGCUGUCGGAGAAGGCCUCCACGCCAUACUUGGCAGGGCAGUAGCCACCUCCAAUUAGGGACAGUCGGCCCGCUAUGCUGGCCACAUUGACGACGCGGCCCCGGGCUCUGCGCACCAGGGGCAGCAGGCUCAGCGUCACCUCGAUCAGCCCCACCAGGUUCACAUUCAGCACCCUGGUGAAGUCAGCCUUGCUCAGCCACUCGUUGUUGCAAGCACAUCCAGAGAUCCCUGCGUUGUUCACCAGGCCCCAGAGCCCUGGAGAGAAGAGACUGUGAGAGCGCUGGGCUGGCUCCUUACCUGGCUUGAGCCAGCUCCGAGAGCACGAGCUCUGUGGCUCGACCCUUGUCCUGUGCCCCCCGCAUGCUCUGGUGGGGAGCCAGCGCCUCCUGCCCUGACUGCAUGAUGGUGAGAAUCUGGGUUUGACUCAAUGGAAGAUUUUCUUGAUCCAACCCCCUUCCCGGGCAGAACUGUCCUGGGUGGAGGGAGGUUGUUCCUGGCCCGAGCCUCUGCUGGAGCUGAUACGGGUGAGAGAAGGGCACGCAGGGGCUGGGGCACAGAGAGGGUCCUCAGGCAGCAACUGAUGGCGGAGGGGGAUGUGAGAGGCUCAGGACACCAAAGGGGCCAGGGCAGGUCACUGGGGAUCUGCUCUUUACCAUCUUGAGAGCUCCCCAGGGAUGAGUGGGACAGUCAGGGCAGCAGCCCCCUGUGCGGGUCACAUGAGGCUGUGGGGAUUUCAUGGAUUUCAUAGACAUUAGGACUGGAAGGGACCUCAGAAGAUCAUCGAGUCCAGGCCCCUGCCCCAGGGGCAGCAAGUCAGCUGGGGUCACAGGAUCCCGGCAAGAUAAACGUCCAAUUGACUCUUCAGGAGUCCAGAGUAGGUGCUUGCACUGUGGCAGAAAUGCCACCGUCAGUGCCCCUCUGCAGAGAUCUGUCUCCACCAGCCUGGGAGGCUGCUGUUGAAUCCCUCAGGGCAGGGAUCCCCCACCUUGUCUGCAUGACAAAAGCCUGGUGCCUGGGAGGCGAGGCUCUGGUCACCUGGGCAGAGGGGGGGAAAGGCCCGGCCCUGCGCGCGGGCCCAGGUAGCCAGGGAUGCUUUGUAGAUUGGCCGGUUUGUAGCCAGUAUUGGCAGCUUCGAUUGCACCGGGCUGCUGAGGUCAGAGAGGUUAUUUAAGGGCCCGGUCCAAGAAGAAGGCAGCCAUUAGCCAUGCGGUCAUCCAGGUGAAUCUGAACCUGGCUCUCUCCUCAUCACCGCAUGCUCCAAGAGUGCCCUGCCUCCAGAGGAAACAACAACCCGCUCUGAACGAUGCGAGUGAGUAAGCUGCUCGAGAUCUGAUUAGAUAUUUAGCUUCAGUAACUCAGAUGCGUGUUGAAACGGCUACCUCAGCCACCCUGGUUUGCUCUAUGGGAUUCCUCUGAUAUUCCUGUAAGAUUUCUAUGAUAUUACUCUACCUUUUACCCUGUUUCCGCCCUACCCCCUGUAAUCAAUAAAGUUCUCCUUUGUGA